UUCCUCUUCUUUUUCCUUACUUUUUCUUUCUCCUCCAUUCUGCCACUGCCGCUGCAAAUCAAGCCAGCGGCAGUACCAACUUCUUUUCUUCCUCUUCUUCUUUUUCUUUUUUUUUUUCUUUCUCCCCUGCUCUGCCACCGCCGCUGCAACUCGAAUCAGCAGCGGUAGCAAUUUCCUCACUAGGGCAUACUUGUCUCGAAGAGUACCAACAGGUCUGAGUACCUACAUCAAAAUGGCGGAUGACGACCGGAUCUCAGAUCUCAUAUUUUCAUAUUUGGGUUCCUUCCAGAUCUGAGAGAUACUCAGAUUUGGAUUCUUUCUGGGAUCUGGGUUUCUUCUAGGAUCUAGGCUUGCCGAGGGAGUAGAGGAGAUGUGUGAGUUGCCAAGAGUAGGGUUAUGGUGCACAGUGGAGGCGCCAGAUUUUCCCCAUGCCAUAACCAACGGAGAACGGAGAAACAACUCCCUCCACAGAGAAAUGGUGGGCGGUUUACUUGUGGGUUCAGAUGCAACCGCAUGGUCGCCGGCAUCAGCCGAGUCACCGAGAUCAACCUCGACUGACCUGGGUACACUAGUUCCCUCUCUUCCUCCACCUGGAACCUACCUUACUGGAAAUCCCUGUGCGUUUCGUUGUUGCAGAUCGUUCUUCUUCUUGAUGGUGUCAAGAGGCAUUGUGAUCAACAUUGAGACACGGCUUUCCAUGGAUGCGCUCACCCUUGAACUGCCACCACUGUCUUCAUAUCUGAUCGGGAGAUGCCACCGUUGCUGCUCUUCCACACCAUGCCAUAUACCGACAUGCCAGUGAAGUAUGUGCAGAUGGCGAUGAGACAAGUGGCGGUGACUGCAAUGGGCUAAGGUCAUUUCAGCGUGGUGAGACAAGCAACGCCAAAGGGGAGAGAGAACGAAGGGGCUGGAGGUGGAAGGGGCAAUCGCCUCCGCUGGUUAAAGACCAACUCGGUUUUGCCGCUGCUGAAAGGAAGAAGACGAAAGGGUGAAAUUGAAUUUAAAAAAAAAAUAUAUAUAUCCAUUACAUGUGAACGAAUUUUGACAAAAUAUAGGUUAAUGAUAAAGGGUAGAGUUAGUCAAUUGUCAUAAACAGUAGAAAUAUUGUUAGACAAUAAUCAAAGGCAUGAUAUAACAUAUGGGUGGAGAGAACUCGGCAAGGUUGAUAAUAACAUAUGCAAAUCCAUACAUAUAUUACUGAUCUAUAAAUUUUCUAGGAAGACAAGAGUGAGAAGGCUGAGAAGACUGAGAAGACUGAGGGUGGAAUUCAAAUUCUUCCAUACAACAAUGAAGUGAAUUUUCCGAUGAUGGACGUGAAUCAGUUCCACCAGAAUUUCAUUGGGGACUUGAUGGCCGCAGAGCAAAUUCCUCAAAACUUUGUGUUUCAGCAACCAUCACCCUCUACCCAAUUCAUCUAUGAACCUUCUCCCCAGUGAGGAGAGAUCAGGAUUGAUGAGAAGCUAAGCGAGGUGAACAAGUGCACUUCUGUGAUGAUCCUCAAGAUCAUAUCCAAAGAAUAAAAACUGCAAGUUCUUGUUCGUAAGAAAUGAUCCUCUUACUGGACGAAAUAAAGAGACCAAAGUUCUUCAUGAAUAGACUCAUCGCCUUUCUCAUUUCAGAUGAUCCAUCUACCUAUAUAAUAUAUAUAUUUAAACAAGCUGGGUCAUUGGCCCAUCCAAUUCUCAAGUCUGGAACAGGCCUUUUUAUCGGAAGGUUUUGAGCCUUUAGGCCCAAGGCAAAGGAAUGAGAAUGGGAACUAGUUAUAUUUGUAUUGUACAUCAGGGAUGAGAAGUAACAAAUCUAAAGAAACAAAAUCAUGUGGUUGCGACUAAAAUCGUCAGUUGGA